rnacentral:rRNA from 1 species
GAGACAGCAGUCGCCGCGGUAAUACGAAGGGGGCUAGCGUUGCUCGGAAUCACUGGGCGUAAAGGGUGCGUAGGCGGGUCUUUAAGUCAGGGGUGAAAUCCUGGAGCUCAACUCCAGAACUGCCUUUGAUACUGAAGAUCUUGAGUUCGGGAGAGGUGAGUGGAACUGCGAGCGUAGAGGUGAAAUUCGUAGAUAUUCGCAAGAACACCAGUGGCGAAGGCGGCUCACUGGCCCGAUACUGACGCUGAGGCACGAAAGCGUGGGGAGCAAACAGGAUUAGAUACCCGUGUAGUCCCUGUCUCUUAUAC